rnacentral:rRNA from 1 species
AUACAGAGGGUGCAAGCGUUAAUCGGAAUUACUGGGCGUAAAGCGCGCGUAGGCGGUUUGUUAAGUUGGAUGUGAAAGCCCCGGGCUUAACCUGGGAGGGUCAUUCAAAACUGGCAGACUAGAGUGUGGUAGAGGGUAGUGGAAUUCCUAGUGUAGCGGUGAAAUGCGUAGAGAUUAGGAGGAACACCAGUGGCGAAGGCGACUGCCUGGACCAACACUGACGCUGAGGUGCGAAAGCGUGGGUAGCGAACAGGAUUAGAUACCCUAGUAGUCC